AGAUUGAACGCUGGCGGCAGGCCUAACACAUGCAAGUCGAGCGGUAGAGAGGUGCUUGCACCUCUUGAGAGCGGCGGACGGGUGAGUAAUGCCUAGGAAUCUGCCUAGUGGUGGGGGAUAACGUUCGGAAACGGACGCUAAUACCGCAUACGUCCUACGGGAGAAAGCGGGGGACCUUCGGGCCUCGCGCCAUUAGAUGAGCCUAGGUCGGAUUAGCUUA
rnacentral:rRNA from 1 species